GAUAUAUUUACGUUGAUAUAUGGCUGAGUAUCGCCAACAAAAAAUCCCAUAAUGCAGUCUGCUGUACAAGCCCUAUUUGGUGACUUUGGUAUAUAAAUUAAUAUACUGUUUGAGAUUUUCCUGACAAGAAACUUGUUAGGUAUGUAGGUAUCGGAUACAUUACUCUGAUAUGUAAUUGUUAUUUUACGUCCAUGAAUCCUGUUGUCCAUCACUUUGAAUUGGAAAUCCUCCUGUAGGCCAACCCAGAACCAAGGACUGGAGUUAACUGAAAUGAACAGACCCGACGAUGGUGAUCAGACACCAUCAGGACAUGGGGACACGACUGAAGACGGGGCUCUCCCUGAGAAGACAACUGAGAAACCGAAGAGCAAUCACUGUUACGUGGAACUGAUGAGACGGAAAACCUGCUGGAAUGGAGAUUGUAAAGAUUGAGGGCGAGACACCAUAGGAUGCCUUGAAGGCCUAAUCCGUAAAGAAACGAUACGAUGUAAAAACAUUUCAACCGGAGAUGGAUAUUAUAAAUACCCCUGGCCUUGGGUUGAAGUGUGUGAUAUUGAGCAUGAAGUUUACGCCGUCGAUCAGGUAAGACUUAAUAGACCCAUA
rnacentral:lncRNA from 1 species